GCUCAACCGAGGAAGUGCUUCGAAAACUGGUAAACUUGAGUGCAGAAGAGGAAAGUGGAACUCCAUGUGUAGCGGUGGAAUGCGUAGAUAUAUGGAAGAACACCAGUGGCGAAGGCGGCUGUCUAGUUUGUAACUGACGCUGAGGCUCGAAAGCAUGGGUAGCGAACAGGAUAGAUACCCUGGUAGUCCAUGCCGUAAACGAUGAGUGCUAAGUGUUGGAGGGUUUCCGCCCUUCAGUGCUGCAGCUAACGCAUUAAGCACUCCGCCUGGGGAGUACGACCGCAAGGUUGAAACUCAAAGGAAUUGACGGGGGCCCGCACAAGCGGUGGAGCAUGUGGUUUAAUUCGAAGCUACGCGAAGAACCUUACCAGGUCUUGACAUCUUCUGCCAAUCUUAGAGAUAAGACGUUCCCUUCGGGGACAGAAUGACAGGUGGUGCAUGGUUGUCGUCAGCUCGUGUCGUGAGAUGUUGGGUUAAGUCCCGCAACGAGCGCAACCCUUAUUAUCAGUUGCCAGCAUUCAGUUGGGCACUCUGGUGAGACUGCCGGUGACAAACCGGAGGAAGGUGGGGAUGACGUCAAAUCAUCAUGCCCCUUAUGACCUGGGCUACACACGUGCUACAAUGGACGGUACAACG
rnacentral:rRNA from 1 species